CUGCUGCCUCCCGUAGGAGUUUGGACCGUGUCUCAGUUCCAAUGUGGGGGACCUUCCUCUCAGAACCCCUACGCAUCGUCGGCUUGGUGGGCCGUUGCCCCACCAACUACCUAAUGCGCCGCAUGCCCAUCCGUGACCGGGGUCGCCCCUUUGGCCGGCAGGGGACGUCCCCUCCCGGCAUUAUGUUGUAUUAGGCGGGAUUUCUCCCGGUUAUCCAUCUGUCACGGCCAGGUUGCAUACGUGUUACUCACCCGUGCGCCGGUCGCCGGCGGCAG
rnacentral:rRNA from 1 species